UACAGAGGUCUCAAGCGUUGUUCGGAUUCAUUGGGCGUAAAGGGCUCGUAGGCGGCCAACUAAGUCGGAUGUGAAAUCCCCAGGCUCAACUUGGGAACUGCAUCCGAUACUGGAUGGCUUGAAUUCGGGAGAGGGAUGCAGAAUUCCAGGUGUAGCGGUGAAAUGCGUAGAUAUCUGGAGGAAUACCGGUGGCGAAGGCGGCAUCCUGGGACCGACAUUGACGCUGAGGAGCGAAAGCUAGGGGAGCAAACGGG
rnacentral:rRNA from 1 species